GCCCGCAAAGCAUCCCCAGACCUAGGCCCGCCUGGCCCGGGUCCGACGCGCACACUCGAGGACGCCGCCGCCCCCGUCUUGCCGCCGUCCGGCCACCCCCACGUCCGGCUGACCCGUAGCAGGAAAGGGCGACCUCGAGACCGGCGAAGGCGACUAGGUCUUGCAGUGGAUAGCUCCUGAGGCAACCAGGUAGUUCAGGGUGCUGGAACCUUUGAGUUUUGUUGGCUAUGGAUGCUAAAGCACAGCGCGAGGGAGCGAGCAACGGCAAGAGACUGACUGUGACCAUGGAGGUCGACACCCUGGAGUGCCCCAUCUGCUUUGAGCCCCUCAGGCCCCCGAUAUUCCAGUGUUCUGUGGGGCAUUUUAUAUGCUCGUCAUGCCGUGGCAAGCACCUGGAUAACAAGUGCCACAUAUGC